rnacentral:antisense_RNA from 1 species
CUUCACCGAGCCGAGCAGCAGUGGCCGGCCGGCGGGCCUGUCCUGGCCGUAGGUGGCGAGGAGGGCCUGCGCCUC